UUUUACCACUAUAACUAUACCCGC
rnacentral:tRNA from 1 species